rnacentral:rRNA from 1 species
AGCGAACGCUGGCGGCAGGCUUAACACAUGCAAGUCGAACGGGCGUAGCAAUACGUCAGUGGCAGACGGGUGAGUGACACGUGGGAACGUACCUUUUGGUUCGGAACAACUGAGGGAAACUUCAGCUAAUACCGGAUAAGCCCUUACGGGGAAAGAUUUAUCGCCGAAAGAUCGGCCCGCGUCUGAUUAGCUAGUUGGUGGGGUAGGAGCCCACCAAGGCGACGAUCAGUAGCUGGUCUGAGAGGAUGAUCAGCCACAUUGGGACUGAGACACGGCCCAAACUCCUACGGGAGGCAGCAGUGGGGAAUAUUGGACAAUGGGCGAAAGCCUGAUCCAGCCAUGCCGCGUGAGUGAUGAAGGCCCUAGGGUUGUAGAGCUCUUUUAACGGGGAAGAUAAUGACGGUACCCGUAGAAUAAGCCCCGGCUAACUUCGUGCCAGCAGCCGCGGUAAU